CAAUGAUGAGUUUAACUGGGAGUGACUUUACCACUGCACCGUUCAAGGUCCCCCUGUCAUAGAUACUCAAGUCGAUUGAUGGAACUUUGCCACUCAGGAACAUUCACUGUUUUCUUGGGUCGCCAACCAUCCACAACAAGAAUUACUGUGUGAAUUCUUUGCGCCCCACUCUAACCACAUUGGAGUGUAAACAUCAGCUACAGGACAAGACCUUGAAAAGCCCAUCAGCUCUCCAGAUGUAGAAUGGCUUGGCAGAUGCCUUGGAGGGAAAAAGUCUUGCCACUAUCCUCAACUAUAUUGAACCUGCAAUGACCCAGUACCCAGCCAACACUUGAAAACACCAGAAAAAAACCCCACAGACAUGGUUGCCCAGCUGUCCAUCACCCUGGCAAAUGUUCUAUAUAAAGCCACAAGAACAUUGAGGAAGAGCUGAUACACUGUGGAAUUACUAAUAUUGCAAUAUUGGACAGUAAAUACAUGACAAAGUGCUAAAAGGUCCC
ensembl:lncRNA